UACGUAGGGGUGCAAGCGUUUGUCCGGAAUUAUUGGGGCGUAAAGAGCUCGUAGGCGGUUUUGUCGCGUCUGCUGUGAAAAACGCGAGGCUCAACCUCGCGCCUGCAGUGGGGUACGGGGGCAGGACUAGAGUGCGGGUAGGGGGGAGAUUGGAAUUCCUGGUGUAGCGGUGAAAUGCGCAGAUAUCAGGAGGGAACACCGGUGGGCGAAGGCGGGGGUCUCUGGGGGCCGUAACUGACGCUGAGGAGCGAAAAGCGUGGGGGAGCGAACAGG
rnacentral:rRNA from 1 species